UACGUAGGGUGCAAGCGUUAAUCGGGAUUACUGGGCGUAAAGCGUGCGCAGGCGGUAAUGUAAGACAGUUGUGAAAUCCCCGGGCUCAACCUGGGAACUGCAUCUGUGACUGCAUUGCUGGAGUACGGCAGAGGGGGAUGGAAUUCCGCGUGUAGCAGUGAAAUGCGUAGAUAUGCGGAGGAACACCGAUGGCGAAGGCAAUCCCCUGGGCCUGCACUGACGCUCAUGCACGAAAGCGUGGGGAGCAAACAGG
rnacentral:rRNA from 1 species